rnacentral:ncRNA from 1 species
CGUCCCCACUCCACCCAUGUGGGGCCCUGACUGAAAAGAAGGAGGAAACAAAGCCCCGGCUCGGGCUGCGGCAGUGUGGAGACCUGCCGUAACGCAGUUGAAAAUCCCCAGGGAUCUGCGAGGGCGCACAGGCGGAGGCCGUGCGUUCAGAGUCAUGCAGCAUGGCA